GAGAAAUGAAAACAAGGAAUUUUAACAGGUUCCUAUUUUCCACUAUAAUGGCAUGUGUUCUCUCCUCCCUCUUGUUUUUAUCUGUUCUCCUUCAUAUGGGAUUCUUUUUUCUGUUUGUCUAAUCCCUUUUCAAUCCACUCAUAUUCAAUCCAAUCCGCCCAUUUUAAGUAGUCGUCGUACAAGGUUCACAAGAAAAUUGACUCAGCUGCCUCUUUUUGUUGGAUACUUGUGAAAGUUGCAUGGUCUCCUCUGAUGGAUUCUUUUCCCUUGCUUCUUGACCUUCAAGCUUCGAUGAGUUAGCGAUGGCUUCUGAUAUAGCCUUUGGUAGCCAAAAUCCAGGUCUUUCGAUAGAGGCUGCACGAUCAAGCACCAAUGGUUCACGCAAUGUGAUCUGAAUGCCAUCAUAUGUCCACAAGGCUAAAUCUGCUUCGCCUUUCAAACCUAGGGAGAACCAUCCUAAGCCAGCAACCGCAACAUCCAUGCUCUUGACAUCCCAGCUCGUUCCACGUGCUUUUACUUCCCUCUUUUGCCAUUGUCCCAACUCAGAAACUCGCUCCAUGGAAAUGGGAGGCUGCAAUCACACUCCAGUAUGGUUGUUCUUGAGCUCAUCGGCAUUUCCUCUCUUCCCUAGAUGAAGAGACGACACACUUGGUGAUGCCCAGACAGUGACAUAGAUUGUUUCUACUGAGGCAAAAACUAGAUCGAGUCUAACUAUGCCCCCAAUAUGUACAGUCUGCCCACGUGCAAGAAAAUUGUGAAAAUACAUUUUAGAGUCGAAAAGUACUUUUUGAUCUCAGGCAAGA
rnacentral:misc_RNA from 1 species